rnacentral:rRNA from 1 species
GACGAACGCUGGCGGCGUGCCUAAUACAUGCAAGUAGAACGCUGACGCGGGAGCUUGCUUCUCUGGAUGAGUUGCGAACGAGUGAGUAACGCGUAGGUAACCUGCCUGGUAGCGGGGGGUAACUAUUGGAAACGAUAGCUAAUACCGCAUAAGAGUAGAUGUUGCAUGACAUUUGCUUAAAAGUUGCAAUUGCAUCACUACCAGAUGGACCUGCGUUGUAUUAGCUAGUUGGUGGGGUAACGGCUCACCAAGGCGACGAUACAUAGCCGACCUGAGAGGGUGGUCGGCCAAACUGGGACUGAGACACGGGCCAGACUCCCACGGGGGGCAGCAGUAGGGGAUCUUCGGAAAUGGACGGAAGUCUUACCGAGCAACGCCGCGUGAGGGAAGAAGGUUUUCGGAUCGUAAAAGUCUGUUUUAAGAGAAGAACGCGUUUGAGGGUGAAAAGUUCACACUGUGACGGUACCUUACCAGAAAGGGACGGCUAACUACGUG